GUGGGGAAUUUUGGACAAUGGGCGCAAGCCUGAUCCAGCAAUGCCGCGUGUGUGAAGAAGGCCUUCGGGUUGUAAAGCACUUUUGUCCGGAAAGAAAUCUCCUGGGUUUAUACCUCGGGGGGAUGACGGUACCGGAAGAAUAAGCACCGGCUAACUACGUGCCAGCAGCCGCGGUAAUACGUAGGGUGCGAGCGUUAAUCGGAAUUACUGGGCGUAAAGCGUGCGCAGGCGGCUAUGCAAGACAGAUGUGAAAUCCCCGGGCUCAACCUGGGAACUGCAUUUGUGACUGCAUGGCUAGAGUGCGUCAGAGGGAGGUGGAAUUCCGCGUGUAGCAGUGAAAUGCGUAGAGAUGCGGAGGAACACCGAUGGCGAAGGCAGCCUCCUGGGAUGACACUGACGCUCAUGCACGAAAGCGUGGGGAGCAAACAGGAUUAGAUACCCUAGUAGUCC
rnacentral:rRNA from 1 species